rnacentral:sRNA from 21 species
CCACAGCCAGGGUGGGCCUUCGGGCAGGGCCUGGACGCGGUAUAGCCGGAAGUCACGCGUUACGGUAGAACACCGGCAGUC